rnacentral:rRNA from 1 species
CCUACGGGGUGCUGCAGUGGGGAAUAUUGGACAAUGGGCGAAAGCCUGAUCCAGCCAUGCCGCGUGUGUGAAGAAGGCCUUCGGGUUGUAAAGCACUUUCAGUGGGGAAGAAAGCCUUGGGGCUAAUACCCUCGAGGAAGGACAUCACCCACAGAAGAAGCACCGGCUAACUCCGUGCCAGCAGCCGCGGUAAUACGGAGGGUGCGAGCGUUAAUCGGAAUUACUGGGCGUAAAGCGCGCGUAGGCGGUCUGAUAAGCCGGUUGUGAAAGCCCCGGGCUCAACCUGGGAACGGCAUCCGGAACUGUCAGGCUAGAGUGCAGGAGAGGAAGGUAGAAUUCCCGGUGUAGCGGUGAAAUGCGUAGAGAUCGGGAGGAAUACCAGUGGCGAAGGCGGCCUUCUGGACUGACACUGACGCUGAGGUGCGAAAGCGUGGGUAGCAAACAGGAUUAGAUCCCGUGUAGUC